rnacentral:rRNA from 1 species
UACGAAGGGGGGCUAGCGUUGUUCGGAAUUACUGGGCGUAAAGGGCGCGUAGGCGGUGCCUCAAGUCAGGCGUGAAAGCCCCCGGGUCAACCUGGGAACCGCGCUUGAGACUGGAGUACUAGAGUUCGGGAGAGGAUGGUGGAAUUCCCAGUGUAGAGGUGAAAUUCGUAGAUAUUAGGAAGAACACCAGUGGCGAAGGCGGCUCACUGGUCCGGUACUGACGCUGAGGUGCGAAAAGCGUGGGGAGCAAACAGG